rnacentral:rRNA from 1 species
GCAGUCGAACGGUGAAGCCCCGCUUGCGGGGUGGAUCAGUGGCGAACGGGUGAGUAACACGUGAGCAACCUGCCCCUGACUCUGGGAUAAGCGCUGGAAACGGCGUCUAAUACUGGAUACGAGACGUGAUCGCAUGGUCAACGUUUGGAAAGAUUUUUCGGUUGGGGAUGGGCUCGCGGCCUAUCAGCUUGUUGGUGAGGUAAUGGCUCACCAAGGCGUCGACGGGUAGCCGGCCUGAGAGGGUGACCGGCCACACUGGGACUGAGACACGGCCCAGACUCCUACGGGAGGCAGCAGUGGGGAAUAUUGCACAAUGGGCGCAAGCCUGAUGCAGCAACGCCGCGUGAGGGAUGACGGCCUUCGGGUUGUAAACCUCUUUUAGCAGGGAAGAAGCGAGAGUGACGGUACCUGCAGAAAAAGCACCGGCUAACUACGUGCCAGCAGCCGCGGUAAUACGUAGGGUGCAAGCGUUAUCCGGAAUUAUUGGGCGUAAAGAGCUCGUAGGCGGUUUGUCGCGUCUGCUGUGAAAUCUGGGGGCUCAACCCCCAGCCUGCAGUGGGUACGGGCAGACUAGAGUGCGGUAGGGGAGAUUGGAAUUCCUGGUGUAGCGGUGGAAUGCGCAGAUAUCAGGAGGAACACCGAUGGCGAAGGCAGAUCUCUGGGCCGUAACUGACGCUGAGGAGCGAAAGGGUGGGGAGCAAACAGGCUUAGAUACCCUGGUAGUCCACCCCGUAAACGUUGGGAACUAGUUGUGGGGUCCAUUCCACGGAUUCCGUGACGCAGCUAACGCAUUAAGUUCCCCGCCUGGGGAGUACGGCCGC